AAUGGCAUCUGGCCAUACGCUUACAGACAUCUAAGGUGAGUAUUGAAGUGGCAGAAACUCUCAGGACUGGUGAAAUCAAACCCCCAAGGCAGCCACUUGAAAUGCUCUGAGAUACGAGCUUUUGGAUUUCUCAAUCAUCUAUCAAAAAAGAUGCAAUUUGCUGGCUCUGCACGUAUGUUACAUUAUACCAUAACCAUGCAACUUAUCACAAUCAGCAUCAACAAAAGCAUUGCAGUUCAGUAAAGAAUUCAGCAAAAUACAAUAACAUGCCAACACCAAAGAAAACUCAUCUACAAUCAAUGGAUGCAGUAAUAACAACUGCAAAAGUUAAAUCUUAUAGAAGGAAUGAAGGUUUCAG
rnacentral:misc_RNA from 1 species